rnacentral:rRNA from 1 species
UACGGAAGGCAGCAGUGGGGAAUAUUGCACAAUGGGCGAAAGCCUGAUGCAGCUAUGCCGCGUGUAUGAAGAAGGCCUUAGGGUUGUAAAGUACUUUCAUCGGGGAGGAAAAAACAAAACUAAUAAUUUUAUUUCUUGACGUUACCCGAAAAAGAAGCACCGGCUAACUCCGUGCCAGCAGCCGCGGUAAUACGGAGGGUGCUAGCGUUAAUCAGAAUUACUGGGCGUAAAGAGCACGUAGGUGGUUUUUUUAAGUCAGAUGUGAAAUCCCUGGGCUUAACCUAGGAACUGCAUUUUGAAACUGAAAUACUAGAGUAUCGUAGAGGGAGGUAGAAUUCUAGGUGUAGCGGUGAAAUGCGUAGAUAUCUGGAAGAAUACCUGUGGCGAAAGCGGCCUCCUAAACGAAUACUGACACUGAGGUGCGAAAGCGUGGGGAGCGAAACAGGGAUUAGAUACC